rnacentral:rRNA from 1 species
AGCGAACGCUGGCGGCAGGCCUAACACAUGCAAGUCGAACGAACCUUUCGGGGUUAGUGGCGGACGGGGGAGUAACACGUGGGAACGUGCCUUUAGGUUCGGAAUAACUCAGGGAAACUUGUGCUAAUACCGAAUGUGCCCUUCGGGGGAAAGAUUUAUCGCCUUUAGAGCGGCCCGCGUCUGAUUAGCUAGUUGGUUGAGGUAAUGGCUCACCAAGGCGACUAUCAGUAGCUGGUCUGAGAGGAUGAUCAGCCACAUUGGGACUGAGACACGGCCCAAACUCCUACGGGAGGCAGCAGUGGGGAAUCUUGCGCAAUGGGCUAAAGCCUGACGCAGCCAUGCCGCGUGAAUGAUGAAGGUCUUAGGAUUGUAAAAUUCUUUCACCGGGGACGAUAAUGACGGUACCCGGAGAAGAAGCCCCGGCUAACUUCGUG